rnacentral:rRNA from 1 species
UACGGGGGGAGCAAGCGUUGUUCGGAUUUACUGGGCGUAAAGGGCGCGUAGGCGGCCACCGCAAGUCGACUGUGAAAUCUCCGGGCUUAACCCGGAAAGGUCAGCCGAUACUGCGGGGCUAGAGUGCAGAAGGGGCAACUGGAAUUCUCGGUGUAGCGGUGAAAUGCGUAGAUAUCGAGAGGAACACCUGCGGCGAAGGCGGGUUGCUGGGCUGACACUGACGCUGAGGCGAGAAAGCUAGGGGAGCGAACGGGAUUAGAUACCCCAGUAGUCC